CUAGAUCGAUAGUGCUCGUCAAGGAAAAUCUAUUGAGCCCAAACACGAUGGAGUUAUGAUGAGUAGAUUAGGAUAGAUUAGGAUUUCUGGUGACCAACUCCUGACUCCAUCAUGAGAACCUGGACUUCAUCUAGAUCAA